GCAGUGGGGAAUAUUGGACAAUGGGGGAAACCGUGAUCCAGCCAUGCCGCGUGAGUGAUGAAGGCCUUAGGGUUGUAAAGCUUUUUCCCCAGGGAAGAUAAUGACGGUACCUGGAAAAGAAGCCUGGGCUAAUUCCGUGCCAGCAGCCGCGGUAAGACGGAGGAGCCAAGCGUUGUUGGGAAUUACUGGGCGUAAAGCGUGCCCAGGUUGUGAGUUCAUUUGGAUGGGAAAGCCCGGGGUUUAACCUGGGAAGUGCAUCCAAUACUCGCUCGCUGGAGGUCGGAAGAGGAGAGUGGAAUUUCCAGUGUAGAGGUGAAAUUCGUAGAUAUCGGGAAGAACACCAGUGGCGAAGGCGGCUAGCUGGUCCAUACCUGACACUCAUUCACGAAAGCGUGGGGAGCAAACAGGAUUAGAUACCCCAGUAGUCC
rnacentral:rRNA from 1 species